rnacentral:misc_RNA from 1 species
CGGCUUCGUUGACUGUGUCGCGACAGGGCCGUGUCAAGUGCACUCCCGUUCCGUCCAUGUAAUUUAUGAUCCGCUAUUUUUGCGGUAUAUUUGGGUCAAUUAUUCCGACAGUGGCCGUGCUAGCGCCGUGGAGCCGGUACUACCGAUGAUAAACAACACCCUCCUCCUGCCCAACCACCGUCAUUACGCCGAAAGCCUGGAGAACGCCACUUUUAUUUCUCCGUGAAAUCGACAACCCCGCCAGGGAUUCGCGACCAACAGCUUCGAUUACGGUUUUGACCUUCGAUGCGACAUCCUGUCUGUUGGCCUUCUACCGGGUCACGUUUCUCGCGAGUUUUACGAUAGUUUUGAGCAAGGAUCCUCGCGUAAUAGGUCGCCGGAUAGUGAUCAGGGGUGACUACCCCAAAAAUCAUGAUGUAACCGGUCGGCUUUGAUUUUACACGCAGAACUAAGUCGAAAGAAGAUGAAUAACAUUUUUUCAUUUAGGCCUUUGUUUUCGAAGAACGUGAAUUUAAAAACCCAUCAGGUAUCCAUGUUUUGACAGGAAGUUUCGAAUUACA